rnacentral:rRNA from 1 species
GAUGAACGCUGGCGGCGUGCCUAAUACAUGCAAGUCGAGCGAACAGAUAAGGAGCUUGCUCCUUUGACGUUAGCGGCGGACGGGUGAGUAACACGUGGAUAACCUACCUAUAAGACUGGGAUAACUUCGGGAAACCGGAGCUAAUACCGGAUAACAUAUUGAACCGCAUGGUUCAAUAGUGAAAGGCGGCUUUGCUGUCACUUAUAGAUGGAUCCGCGCCGUAUUAGCUAGUUGGUAAGGUAACGGCUUACCAAGGCAACGAUACGUAGCCGACCUGAGAGGGUGAUCGGCCACACUGGAACUGAGACACGGUCCAGACUCCUACGGGAGGCAGCAGUAGGGAAUCUUCCGCAAUGGGCGAAAGCCUGACGGAGCAACGCCGCGUGAGUGAUGAAGGCCUUCGGAUCGUAAAACUCUGUUAUCAGGGAGGAACAAAUGUGUAAGUAACUGUGCACAUCUUGACGGUACCUGAUCAGAAAGCCACGGCUAACUACGUG